AGGUGUAUAGUUUAGUGGUAGAGCACAUGCUUAGCAUGCAUGAGGUCCUGGGUUCAAUCCCCAGUACCUCCA
rnacentral:tRNA from 1 species